rnacentral:rRNA from 1 species
UACGAAGGGGGCUAGCGUUGUUCGGAAUCACUGGGCGUAAAGCGCACGUAGGCGGAUCUUUAAGUCAGGGGUGAAAUCCCGAGGCUCAACCUCGGAACUGCCUUUGAUACGUGGGGAUCUCGAGUCCGGGAGAGGGUGAGUGGAACUGCGAGUGUAGAGGUGAAAUUCGUAGAUAUUCGCAAGAACACCAGUGGCGAAGGCGGCUCACUGGCCCGGUACUGACGCUGAGGUGCGAAAGCGUGGGGAGCAAACAGGG